CUCAAGUUUACUCAUGUUCUGUUUGUAAUUUUCAUUGCUCAUGACAGAUCCUCGAGGCCGAAAAUAUAAGCACUUUCUUCCUCUAGUAGAUUUUUAGGCAUUUUCUCAAAUUGCAUCGAAACUGAUUGCCUUUCAUCGCUAGUUUAUGAUUGUUUCAUUUGAACUCUUCCAACAUAUAAUGCAAGUUAAAGCGCUGCAUAUGGGCAUCAGUUGCAAAGGCAGCAGUUACAUCACGUGAUACUACCUUUACUUAUAGAUUUAUAUUAUAAAUAGCUGAUUAUUUUCAGUUGCAAAGGCAGCAGUUACAUCAUG
rnacentral:lncRNA from 1 species